UUCUAUUUAUUUCCUAUUCUAUGUAGAAUUAUGCAUUAACUUCUCUUGAAAACAAAUCAUGAAUCACAUAAUUCGGUUGUAUACUGCAAGAAGUGUGAGAAGCACCAUUUGAUUUCGAUUGAAGAGACCGUGCACACAUCCUAUAGUGUGGCAUGAAUUUAGUCUAAACAUUUUUUCAUCCUUUAUCACAAAAUCAGCUUCAUUUCUGUUGAGUUAUAGCAUUGUUUACUACUGUAUGAAUAUAAAUAUAAUGGUCCCCGCUCAUAGAAGAAUAUCCG